rnacentral:rRNA from 1 species
AGUGGCGAACGGCGGAGUAAUACAUGAGCAACGUGCCCCAAAGCCCGGGAUAGUCGCUGGAAACGGCGGGUAAUACCGGAUGUGGCGUCCGGGUGGCAUCACUUGGACAUUAAACGGUUUUUCGCUUUAGGAGCGGCUCAUGGCCUAUCAGGUAGUUGGUGAGGUAACGGCUCACCAAGCCGACGACGGGUAGCGGGUCUGAGAGGAUGAUCCGCUCGAGUGGGACUGAGACACGGCCCACACACCUACGGGUGGCAGCAGUUGGGAAUCUUGCACAAUGGGGGAAACCCUGAUGCAGCGACGCCGCGUGGAGGAUGAAUGGUCUAGGCCUGUAAACUCCUUUUAUCGGGAAAGACUUAGGACGGUACCCGAUGAAUAAGCACCGGCUAACUACGUGCCAGCAGCCGCGGUAAGACGUAGGGUGCAAGCGUUGUCCGGAUUUACUGGGCGUAAAGAGCGCGUAGGCGGUCUGUUAAGUGUAGAGUGAAAUCUCCAGGGCUCAACCCGGAAACUGCUCUGCAGACUGGCAGACUGGAGGGUCGCAGAGGUAUGUGGAAUUCCCGGUGUAGCGGUGAAAUGCGUUGAUAUCGGGAGGAACACCCAUGGCGAAGGCAGCAUACUGGGCGACACCUGACGCUGAGGCGCGAAAGCGUGGGUAGCAAACAGGAUUAGAUACCCUGGUAGUCCACGCCCUAAACGAUGGAUACUAGGCGUAAGGGGGUAUCGACCCCCCUUGUGCCGCAGCUAACGCACUAAGUAUCCCGCCUGGGGACUACGGCCGCAAAGUUGAAACUCAAAUGAAUUGACGGGGACCCGCACAAGCGGUGGAGCAUGUGGAUUAAUUCGA